GAUGAAGAACGUAGCGAAAUGCGAUAAGUAAUGUGAAUUGCAGAAUUCCGUGAAUCAUCGAAUCUUUGAACGCACAUUGCGCCCCCUGGCAUUCCGGGGGGCAUGCCUGUCCGAGCGUCAUUUCUGCCCUCAAGCACGGCUUGUGUGUUGGGUGUGGUCCCCCCGGGGACCUGCCCGAAAGGCAGCGGCGACGUCCGUCUGGUCCUCGAGCGUAUGGGGCUUUGUCACUCGCUCGGGAAGGACCUGCGGGGGUUGGUCACCACCAUAUUUUACCACGGUUGACCUCGGAUCAGGUAGGAGUUACCCGCUGAACUUAAGCAUAUCAAUAAGCGGAGGA
rnacentral:misc_RNA from 1 species